ensembl:snRNA U6 U6 spliceosomal RNA
GUGCUCCCGUCGGCAGCACAUACAAUAAAAUAGGAACCAUACAGAGAAAGUGAACUUGGCUCCUGGGCAAGGAUGACACCCAGAUUUGUGAAGCAUUCCAUAUUGUU